GGAGGUAGUUCGUUGUGUGGU
rnacentral:miRNA from 2 species